AGGAUUCUGUUACUGUGUAAGCUUAAUUAGUAACCAUGCCAUGUUUUAGUUGCAUGGAGUUACCUGGGACAGUUCCUUUGUCUAAUUCACUUGGAGUGCCCUAAAUCUGGACUUUUCAUCAGAAGGCAGCCCAGUGGCCCCAUCCCAGGCUGGGGAAGAAUCCUCGAGCCAGAGCUCGGCGCCGCAUCCAGAGCCUCACGACAGGAGCUGUGCCUCGAGUGGAGUCUUCUGGAGCUGUGAUGAAAACAGGAUUAAAGAAGAAAUCAUUGGCAAUGGAGUGCUGCAACAACGGAAAUGCUUCUUUUCAGUGGAUACUAAAGCUGAGAUGGAUCAUAAUGGAAAGUGACACUGAAAAAUCACAGAGAGUCAACAAUUUGAAAAGCAGAGGUUUGCAGCCCAAAUUGCACAGGAUCUUUUAACCUGGACACCUCUUUGACCUGCACAACUCAAGGAUAAUGGUAUUUUUAUGUACAAAUAUUACAUGUAAGAAACGUCCUGCAUUUGUUACAAGUAAAUACUUAAUUCCCC
rnacentral:lncRNA from 1 species